CCUACGGGAGGCAGCAGUGAGGAAUAUUGGUCAAUGGCCGGACGGCUGAACCAGCCAAGCCGCGUGAGGGAGGAAGGCGCAGUGCGUCGUAGACCUCUUUUGCCGGGGGACAAAAGGCCGGACUCGUCCGGUCCUGGGGGUACCCGGAGAAAAAGCAUCGGCUAACUCCGUGCCAGCCGCCGGGGUAAUUCGGAGGGUGCGAGCGUUAUCCGGGUUCAUUGGGUUUAAAGGGUGCGUAGGCGGGCCUUUAAGCCAGCGGUGAAAUCGCGGGGCUCAACCCCGCCGCGCCGUUGGAACUGGGGGCCUUGAGUGGGGGGGAGGCAUGCGGAAUGCGCGGUGUAGCGGUGAAAUGCAUAGAUAUCGCGCAGAACCCCGAUUGCGAAGGCAGCGUGCCGUGCCCCCACUGACGCUGAGGCACGAAAGCGCGGGGAUCGAACAGGAUUAGAUACCCGAGUAGUC
rnacentral:rRNA from 1 species